CCCGGUUGACUUGCUACAAGUGUGUUUUGUGUGAAUUUAUUUAAUCUGAAAUUUAUUUUCGUGAUUUUAUUUACAAUUUUAAGUUCUGUUUAAAUUUCAACUCAUCUAGUCUAGUACGUAAAAAUUAUAAUUAUUAAUUUUACCAUAACAAUCUCUACAGAUAACAUUUUGCAUAAGUACAUAAUUACAAUAGUUUAAUGAUAAAAACUCCAAUAAUUCUUAGUAUCGAUCACGUUUGACAAUUUACGAUAAGCAGAUAAGGGCGACAUAAGCCAAUUUAGCUAAAUACACCCACGUAAGCAAAGCUAACUCAGUACUGAUUUCGUGUUUAGCAAAAACACACAGCGUUUUAGUUUUUGUUGGAUUAUUAAUAAACAACAAAAUGUGUUGUGUAUGCAGUUUGAUAAGCAAAGUCAUCAGCUUCAUUCUAUCACUGCUAUUUUUUGUGGCAGUGGUUCUGCUCAUUCUGUGGGCCACCAAUGUCCUGUGGAAUAAUUCUGAUACAGAUAACGACAACAACGAAACCACUACAGCCACCUUCAUGAGCGAAGUCACUGGUGCAGGACUGAAACAUUUUAGUAGUACAUAGUUUUAAUUUUUUAAUUACUAUUAAGGUCGGUGUCCAAAAAUCUUUGUUAUACGGAGUUGUAGAUGGCUGCGUAGAUGCAACCAAUGCACAUACAUUGGAUGCAUACACUACGCGUUCGGUACAUGUGUAUCAUACACGCACACAUACGUAGUUAGUCUGCACCGGCCUUUAAAGGUCUACAGCGUUUGUUUCGCCUACACAAUCAACAAAACUAUGUAAACAUUCAAAAUAAUCAUCUUCACAAAAAUAUUUUUUCUCUACACAUUUAAUCUUACAUAUCAUUAGCUAUUUGGUUUGCUAAAAAAAUAUUAUCUGUUCUAAAAACAUUACGUUGUGUAUGUGUUUUGUUGAAUGUUUUCAAUGGAGACCCGACUUAACGUACGCACAUUAGUAAUAAAAAUGAUUUAAGUAACGUAGCCUUACUUGAAGUAUUUUUACAUACUUAUUAUAAGCAUAAGAUCAAACAGGAAAUCUACUUAAGUAUAUGAUAUUUUUUAUAUAUGAAAAAUGUUUUUAUCGUAGAUUUUCUCUGAUUUACCUCAUUGUAAUAUUUCAUAAUAUAAGUGCAUAAUUUAUAUAUGUAAAAUAUUAAUGUAUUUUUUAUAAUGCUUUAAAUAUAAACUUUGAGAUUAAUAUUAACUCAGAUUUUAGUUCAAAUCGUUUAUUUUUCUAAUAUAACUGAUAUUGUCAUCAAGCGUUUUAUAAUUUAAUAUUUAUUAGCGGCCCGUCUCGACUUCGCUCAUAAAAAUAAUAUAAAUUAUACACCUAUACCUCAGGAAUUACACUAUAUACUAAAAUAAACCACAUCUAAACCUGUUGCAUAGCUUUAAAGACCUAAGCGUACAUAGGGGCACAGACAAACCGCAAGAAGCGACUAUGUAGUGAUUCGUUGUUUUCAUUAACAACUUAUUUUACAUAAAGUUUCAACACUCACGCUGGGUUAAUGUGUACAUGCUUAUAAAAUAUGUACAUAAAAUGAAUAAAUAAAAAAACCGGUCAAGUGCGCGUUAGUCUCGCGCACCGAGGGUUCCGUACAAAAUUUUUAAGAUUCGCGGGCGUAUGCAUUUAUUUGGUACGUAACUUGUAAUUACAAAUAUAACAUUUUUUCUGUGAUGUGUGUUCUGUGAUUUGUGAUAAAUUACCAAUUUAUGAAUUUUUUACUAUAUCAGCAUAGAAUGACCUUACUUUAUCCCAAAUUUCAUGAUUCUAGGUCAUCGGGAAGUACCCUGUAGGUUUUGAUUCCUUUGUGAAAUCGCAAAAUGCAAACUAUAAGUAAAUUAACAAUUUUCAGAUAUUUAAACACUAUAUUUAACAAGGAAUACUUGAUAUAUUUUAUAUUUCAUGGAAUAAAAUUACAAAACUAAAGUGUAUACCUGUUAUUUGACCACCCUGUACAUCUUGUUCAUUGUUCUUCGUGUCGAUCUAAAUAAUUCGACAGCGUAUUAUUUUCAUAAAAAAUUCUAAGAUAAGAUCAAAUUUUAUAGAAAUCAGUAACACAAAUUUACGUUUGAUGAAUUAGGUACUCAUGGAAUUAGUAGGUACUCCUACUAAUUCCGUGGAAUUACUUAAGUACAUUCAAAGAUAUGAAUCUGUUUUUUUUUCACGUUAUUUUAUAUAGGACUAGAUGUUACCCGAGGCUGCGAAUCCGUAGGAAUUUUGAGAUAAAAUAUAGCCCAUAGCAAUCUUGGACAAUGUACCUUUCUAAUGGUGAAAGAAUUUUUGAAAUCGGUUAAGUAGUUUCGGAGAUUACCCGCCUCAAACAUACAAACUCACAAACGCUUACCUCUUUAUAAUAAUAGUAUAGAAGUAUAGAUAUAUCGAAAAUAUGGAUAGAAUUAUAUAUGAUCUUAGCUUCAAAAACAAUUUGAAUGGCAUAAACAAAAAUGUCAAUACAUAAAGUGACAGAUCAUUGAUACCUAUAGUAUUUUGAUAUAUUAUUUAAUAUGCUAGAAGAAAAACGAUUUCAGAAUACCAAUAAUCAUCUUUUCUUUAAUUUGACGCAGCAUCAACAUCGUACCAAGAUUAGAAGUGACAAGGGUAAUGUGCAAAUGGACACAUGGACAACAUUCAACAACCCAUACCGAGCAAUAAACAUGAAUCACGAACCCGAUGGACACACGCACGUAACAGUGGAACACACUCAGCACCGCACACAAACAUUUCUAAUGACAGUCCCCUUAUUCCCUGUGAUUUCCGCUCUUGCUGUGUAAUCAUCGUCAUUAUGGGAUUUAUAAUACUAAUCAUUUCCUUGGGUGUGUUAGCCGCUGUAAACACUGGCUUCUUACAUUCAAAUCCGAGCGGGAAACUGGAGUCGCCCUUAAGCGAAUAAUGCUAAACCAUAGCCUGAUGGCGUAAAAUCUUCGAAGAUUUGGAUUUCCUUCGUUGAUAGAUAGCAUCCAAGUAGGAACUUGCGCAAAGAUGCCUACGGUAAGGCCUUAAGAAAGAAAGGCUGAAUUCCAUCAUGCAGGCCCUCCCACUGCAUCAUUUAAUUAAUGUUGGAACGUGAUCACUUGUCCAGACUCGGAACAUUAUUUAUUUUAUUGAAAGACCAACAACUUUCUUUUCUUAUUUUAUUUCUCUCUUUCAUCUGAUCGUGUUUCUGGUUGCUUCCUUUUUGUUGCUGUUUUUUAUAAUAUUAGUUAUAAGAACAUAAAGAAUACGAAAUUAUUACAGUAUGUUACAAUACGUAAUGGUUAUUUUGCACUUACUAUGUACUAUACAUAUAUACAUAUAAUAUAAUCUUCAAAUUUUGACUAAGUCAUUCGCUAAAAUCAGAUAAGCACAGUUUUAUUACUUUAUUUAAUGAAAUAUAUAUGCUUUUCAUCAA